rnacentral:rRNA from 1 species
UAGGGAAUCUUCCGCAAUGGGCGAAAGCCUGACGGAGCAACGCCGCGUGAGUGAUGAAGGUCUUCGGAUCGUAAAACUCUGUUAUUAGGGAAGAACAAAUGUGUAAGUAACUAUGCACGUCUUGACGGUACCUAAUCAGAAAGCCACGGCUAACUACGUGCCAGCAGCCGCGGUAAUACGUAGGUGGCAAGCGUUAUCCGGAAUUAUUGGGCGUAAAGCGCGCGUAGGCGGUUUUUUAAGUCUGAUGUGAAAGCCCACGGCUCAACCGUGGAGGGUCAUUGGAAACUGGAAAACUUGAGUGCAGAAGAGGAAAGUGGAAUUCCAUGUGUAGCGGUGAAAUGCGCAGAGAUAUGGAGGAACACCAGUGGCGAAGGCGACGUUCUGGUCUGUAACUGACGCUGAUGUGCGAAAGCGUGGGGAUCAAACAG